rnacentral:rRNA from 1 species
UACGGAAGGCAGCAGUGGGGAAUAUUGCACAAUGGGCGCAAGCCUGAUGCAGCCAUGCCGCGUGUAUGAAAAAGGCCUUCGGGUUGUAAAGUACUUUCAGUCGUGAGGAAGGUGUUAAGGUUAAUAACCUUAGCAAUUGACGUUAGCGACAGAAGAAGCACCGGCUAACUCCGUGCCAGCAGCCGCGGUAAUACGGAGGGUGCGAGCGUUAAUCGGAAUUACUGGGCGUAAAGGGCACGCAGGCGGUUAAUUAAGUUGGAUGUGAAAUCCCCGGGCUUAACCUGGGAAUGGCAUUCAAGACUGGUUAGCUAGAGUCUUGUAGAGGGGGUUAGAAUUCCAUGUGUAGCGGUGAAAUGCGUAGAGAUGUGGAGGAAUACCGGUGGCGAAGGCGGCCCCUGGACAAGACUGACGCUCAUGUGCGAAAGCUGGGGAGCAACGAGGAUUAGAUACC